rnacentral:rRNA from 1 species
CUAAUACAUGCAAGUCGAGCGAACGGACGAGAAGCUUGCUUCUCUGAUGUUAGCGGCGGACGGGUGAGUAACACGUGGAUAACCUACCUAUAAGACUGGGAUAACUUCGGGAAACCGGAGCUAAUACCGGAUAAUAUUUUGAACCGCAUGGUUCAAAAGUGAAAGACGGUCUUGCUGUCACUUAUAGAUGGAUCCGCGCUGCAUUAGCUAGUUGGUAAGGUAACGGCUUACCAAGGCAACGAUGCAUAGCCGACCUGAGAGGGUGAUCGGCCACACUGGAACUGAGACACGGUCCAGACUCCUACGGGAGGCAGCAGUAGGGAAUCUUCCGCAAUGGGCGAAAGCCUGACGGAGCAACGCCGCGUGAGUGAUGAAGGUCUUCGGAUCGUAAAACUCUGUUAUUAGGGAAGAACAUAUGUGUAAGUAACUGUGCACAUCUUGACGGUACCUAAUCAGAAAGCCACGGCUAACUACGUGCCAGCAGCCGCGGUAAUACGUAGGUGGCAAGCGUUAUCCGGAAUUAUUGGGCGUAAAGCGCGCGUAGGCGGUUUUUUAAGUCUGAUGUGAAAGCCCACGGCUCAACCGUGGAGGGUCAUUGGAAACUGGGAAACUUGAGUGCAGAAGAGGAAAGUGGAAUUCCACGUGUAGCGGUGAAAUGCGCAGAGAUAUGGAGGAACACCAGUGGCGAAGGCGACUUUCUGGUCUGUAACUGACGCUGAUGUGCGAAAGCGU